rnacentral:misc_RNA from 1 species
UCUCCGUUGGUGAACCAGCGGAGGGAUCAUUACAGGACUCGCAAGACUCCUUCACCCUGUGAACCUCACUACAAGACCGUUGCCUGGGCGGGCGUCCCGCCGGGGGAUUUCCCGCCCCGGGGCGCACAGCGCGCCAGCAGCCUAAUAUUUUUUGCCUCUUUGCGUUGGCAACUCGAGAAAAAAAAAACAAGUUAAAACUUUCAACAACGGAUCUCUUGGUUCUG